rnacentral:rRNA from 1 species
AUUGAACGCUGGCGGCGUGCCUAACACAUGCAAGUCGAGCGGUAACAGGUGUAGCAAUACAUGCUGACGAGCGGCGAACGGGUGAGUAAUGCUUCGGAAUCUACCCAAUGGUGGGGAAUAACCAGCCGAAAGGUUGGCUAAUACCGCAUACGUCCCACGGGAGAAAGCGAGGGGAUCGCAAGACCUUGCGCCAAUGGAUGAGCCGAAGUCGGAUUAGCUAGUUGGAGGGUAACGGCCUACCAAGGCGACGAUCCGUAGCUGGUCUGAGAGGACGACCAGCCACAC